GUUUGAUCCUGGCUCAGGACGAACGCUGGCGGCGUGCUUAACACAUGCAAGUCGAGCGAUGAAGCUUCCUUCGGGAAGUGGAUUAGCGGCGGACGGGUGAGUAACACGUGGGCAACCUGCCUCAAAGAGAGGAAUAGCCCUCCGAAAGGAGGAUUAAUACCGCAUAAAGUUAGAGUUUCGCAUGAAACUUUAACCAAAGGAGUAAUCUGCUUUGAGAUGGGCCCGCGUCCCAUUAGCUAGUUGGUAAGGUAAUGGCUUACCAAGGCAACGAUGGGUAGCCGACCUGAGAGGGUGAUCGGCCACAUUGGAACUGAGACACGGUCCAGACUCCUACGGGAGGCAGCAGUGGGGAAUAUUGCGCAAUGGGGGAAACCCUGACGCAGCAACGCCGCGUGGGUGAUGAAGGUUUUCGGAUCGUAAAACCCUGUUUUCUGGGACGAUAAUGACGGUACCAGAUGAGGAAGCCACGGCUAACUACGUGCCAGCAGCCGCGGUAAUACGUAGGUGGCAAGCGUUGUCCGGAUUUACUGNGCGUAAAGGGUGCGUAGGCGGAUGCUUAAGUGAGAUGUGAAAUACCUAGGCUUAACUUAGGGGCUGCAUUUCAAACUGGGCAUCUAGAGUACAGGAGAGGGAAACGGAAUUCCUAGUGUAGCGGUGAAAUGCGUAGAGAUUAGGAAGAACACCAGUGGCGAAGGCGGUUUCCUGGNCUGUAACUGACGCUGAGGCACGAAAGCGUGGGUAGCAAACAGGAUUAGAUACCCUGG
rnacentral:rRNA from 1 species